GCACGAAUGGCGUAACGAUGGCCACACUGUCUCCUCCCGAGACUCAGCGAAGUUGAAGUGGUUGUGAAGAUGCAAUCUACCCGCUGCUAGACGGAAAGACCCCGUGAACCUUUACUGUAGCUUUGCAUUGGACUUUGAAGUCACUUGUGUAGGAUAGGUGGGAGGCUUUGAAGCAGAGACGCCAGUCUCUGUGGAGCCGUCCUUGAAAUACCACCCUGGUGUCUUUGAGGUUCUAACCCAGACCCGUAAUCCGGGUCGGGGACCGUGCAUGGUAGGCAGUUUGACUGGGGCGGUCUCCUCCCAAAGAGUAACGGAGGAGUUCGAAGGUUACCUAGGUCCGGUCGGAAAUCGGACUGAUAGUGCAAUGGCAAAAGGUAGCUUAACUGCGAGACCGACAAGUCGAGCAGGUGCGAAAGCAGGACAUAGUGAUCCGGUGGUUCUGUAUGGAAGGGCCAUCGCUCAACGGAUAAAAGGU
rnacentral:rRNA from 1 species